rnacentral:rRNA from 1 species
UACAGAGGUGGCAAGCGUUGUUCGGAAUUACUGGGCGUAAAGGGCGCGUAGGCGGUCCGAUAAGUCCCGUGUGAAAUCCCUCGGCUCAACUGAGGAAUGGCACGGGAAACUGACGGGCUUGAGUUCGGGAGAGGGAAGCGGAAUUCCGGGUGUAGCGGUGAAAUGCGUAGAUAUCCGGAGGAACACCGGUGGCGAAGGCGGCUUCCUGGACCGACACUGACGCUGAGGCGCGAAAGCUAGGGGAGCAAACGGGA